GCGAUGAGCUAAAUUGUGUAAGUCGACUGACAACCCUUCAGGGAAUGCACAAUGUGGAGUGCAGUCAUGUCGCCACAAUUCGAACAAAAAAGAUGCCUA
rnacentral:sRNA from 1 species